CGGGGGAACUGAAACAUCUAAGUACCCCGAGGAAAAGAAAUCAACCGAGAUUCCCCCAGUAGCGGCGAGCGAACGGGGAGGAGCCCAGAGCCUGAAUCAGCAUGUGUGUUAGUGGAAGCGUCUGGAAAGGCGCGCGAUACAGGGUGACAGCCCCGUACACAAAAGCGCAUGUGCUGUGAGCUCGAUGAGUAGGGCGGGACACGUGGUAUCCUGUCUGAAUAUGGGGGGACCAUCCUCCAAGGCUAAAUACUCCUGACUGACCGAUAGUGAACCAGUACCGUGAGGGAAAGGCGAAAAGAACCCCGGCGAGGGGAGUGAAAAAGAACCUGAAACCGU
rnacentral:rRNA from 3 species